rnacentral:rRNA from 1 species
CCUACGGGAGGCAGCAGUGGGGGAUAUUGCACAAUGGGGGAAACCCUGAUGCAGCGACGCCGCGUGGGCGAAGAAGUAUUUCGGUAUGUAAAGCCCUAUCAGCAGGGAAGAAGAAAUGACGGUACCUGAGUAAGAAGCACCGGCGAAAGACGUGCCAGAAGCCGCGGUAAUACGUAUGGUGCACGCGUUAUCCGGAUUUACUGGGUGGAAAGGGAGCGCAGGCGGCACGGCAAGCCUGAUGUGAAAGCCCGGGGCCCAACCGGGGGACUGCAUUGGGAACUACCGGGCUGGAGUGCCGGAGAGGUAGGCGGAAUUCCUAGUGUAGCGGUGAAAUGCGUAGAUAUUAGGAGGAACACCAGUGGCGAAGGCGGCCUACUGGACGGUGACUGACGCUGAGGCUCGAAAGCGUGGGGAGCAAACAGGAUUAGAUACCCGUGUAGUC